rnacentral:tRNA from 1 species
GCGGGUGUAGCAAAACGGUCAUGCCCCAGCUUCCCAAGCUGGUCACGCCGGUUCGACUCCGGUCACCCGCUCCA